AGCGAACGCUGGCGGCAUGCCUAACACAUGCAAGUCGAACGAACCUUUCGGGGUUAGUGGCGGACGGGUGAGUAACACGUGGGAACGUGCCUUUAGGUUCGGAAUAACUCAGGGAAACUUGUGCUAAUACCGAAUGUGCCCUUCGGGGGAAAGAUUAAUCGCCUUUAGAGCGGCCCGCGUCUGAUUAGCUAGUUGGUUGAGGUAAUGGCUCACCAAGGCGACGAUCAGUAGCUGGUCUGAGAGGAUGAUCAGCCACAUUGGGACUGAGACACGGCCCAAACUCCUACGGGAGGCAGCAGUGGGGAAUAUUGCGCAAUGGGCGAAAGCCUGACGCAGCCAUGCCGCGUGAAUGAUGAAGGUCUUAGGAUUGUAAAAUUCUUUCACCGGGGACGAUAAUGACGGUACCCGGAGAAGAAGCCCCGGCUAACUUCGUG
rnacentral:rRNA from 1 species